GGAUUAGGUAUGUAUCAAAAGGAAGCUUCUAACUUACUUUUUAAGCGGUUAAAUUCCGUUUCUUUUCCU
rnacentral:tRNA from 1 species